CGUUAUUCGGAAUCACUGGGCUUAAAGGGCGCGUAGGCGGGCCGUCAAGUCGAGGGUGAAAUCCCCCAGCUCAACUGGGGAAGUGCCUCCGAUACUGGCGGCCUCGAGGGGGAUAGGGGCAUGCGGAACUUCCGGUGGAGCGGUGAAAUGCGUAGAUAUCGGAAGGAACACCGGUGGCGAAAGCGGCGUGCUGGAUCACUGCUGACGCUGAGGCGCGAAAGCCAGGGGAGCGAACGGG
rnacentral:rRNA from 1 species